UCAGACGCACUUCCAUAUAUUUUUUUUUUUUUGUUGUAAAAGAGCUUUAUACAAUCUUUUUUAUAAGUCAGAACAAUCGUUACCAGCUUGAAAGCACAUUGCCCCUAACUCUAAAUUAGGUCGCAAGUUUGGGAGGAUUUCUUCUGAAACUGAAGAUGGCGGCCAGGAAAGCGGAGAAGCACGGCCUGUUGCAAUACAUUACACAAUUCUCCAGCAGAACAUGGCAAUUGGAAAACUAGCAGUAUGUUAGAACGAUAUUGAAGUCUUCUGAGGAGUGGUAAAGGUGAGACAUGGUUUUGGUUGCUUCAUCAAGUUAUGGCAAGGGUGAUAUCUGAGACAAUAGGGACUACAAUAAACCUUAUUGAUAUUUGCUGAACAUUUCUGGAAACUACAGUUGAAAUUGUGUCAGGUCCUGCUGUUAAAGUUAUACCCAACUAGAACAAUGUUCUAUGAUGUUGUGGUGCUUUCUUCAAUUCUCUUGUUUGUUGAAGUCCAAGAGGAGAAGGAUGAAAGUAACUUUCAUUAUGACAAACUUCUGAACAACUAUCUUUUGAAACUUGUGAAAAGGUUGAGCAGAUUGAUCCCAAUGCUAGAAAACCACUGAGCAGGGAAUCAGGGGUGCGGAAUGAUAGGUAUACUUUCAUUCUUUGCCUAGUCAUUCUAAUCUUUGGUUCCUGCAGCAAACAAUCAGAAUGCAGUAGGUCAGACUUUAUAGGCUUGUUGGUCAGGUGAUGUACUAAAUAAUCAACACACCUUUUGGAAGCAGGAGGUGAUUUGAUUAGAAAUUGAAGGUUUCGCUUUAGGCAUUUCUUAAUAAGCCUACAAUUCUUCUUAACAACCCAACCUAUUUCCACAACGAGUUGUGUUGCAUCAGAUCUUACACUGUAACCCACCAAGUCAUAAUUCAGCUCUGAUUGUAGCAUUCUUCAUUCUGCUUGCACUCAGCUCUUUGCAAAGCGACCUUCCAAUUCAGUAUCACUUAAGCUCCAUUUGAUUUCCUUGGAAACUGAAUUUGCUUUUUCUUUGUGGAAUUGGCUACUCCUGGGUUCCCUGCGGUUGUGAUGUAAUCUGAUUUCUGCCACAUGGAUGCCCAUAUCUCUUCAACCCUGAGUACAUCACUUAUUACAUACUUAGCUCUUAACUUACUGGCUUUAGACAUAAAAAACCUAGAUUGAUGUAAGAUGAGACUACAUCUGGGCUAUGACAGAUGUCUGGUGAAUCAUCAGCAUAAAUUGAUUUGUGGACUGUCCCGGAUGAGCCCCGUGUGCAUGGUGUGAAGAACCUGAGAAAAGUCUUGUAUGGGAUUGUAUAGCUUAUCUGAUUGCGUUGAAUCAAAGCAACGAGGAUGCUCUUCGAAGGAGGAUAAGAACAAUAAACUUGAUAGGUGCAUUUCUAGUA